GUCAAUUUUUUUCCAUUUCUUUGAUGUUCAGGUCUCUUGUGAAAAGCAUUUCACUCUUUGCAGUGGCAAUUUUGGUAGCUAGAGAGAUGACUGCAGCUAGUGUGGAGCCUGCUGCUUGAUGCUUGUGUUGAAACAUCAUGGAAAACUUGUGAUAUUAGCAUUGGACAAAUGAAUUAAACUUUUGUUUUGCAUUUUUGA
rnacentral:sRNA from 1 species